GUGAUGACAUGCGGGAGAACCGCGUCAAAACUAGUUGUCAAAUCACAGGGAGACCUCUCCCCUUCGACCUCUCACCCUCAGCGCUGAAGCGCUGGAGCACAGCGGCCUCUAGUGGACGGCAAUGAUAACAAGGAACCACAUUUUCCUUGUACUAUUCAUAAAGCUGUGAAAUUGAUCAAAAGAAAUAAGAAAAAUGCAGUUGACUCACAAAUGUCUGUGGAAACUAAGUUCUUCAAUGGAAAAGUUAAAAUGCGCAAACGACAUGCGCAGUGCGGUACCUAAGUGAUUGAAAAGGCUCAGAGACACACCUGACCAUGAAUGUCCCUGCAGUAGCCUGUCGGCAGACCCUGAACAUG